rnacentral:siRNA from 1 species
GGAUAUCAUAACCCGACAUGCAA